rnacentral:rRNA from 1 species
GACGAACGCUGGCGGCGUGCUUAACACAUGCAAGUCGAACGGAAAGGCCCUGCUUUUGUGGGGUGCUCGAGUGGCGAACGGGUGAGUAACACGUGAGUAACCUGCCCUUGACUUUGGGAUAACUUCAGGAAACUGGGGCUAAUACCGGAUAGGAGCUCCUGCUGCAUGGUGGGGGUUGGAAAGUUUCGGCGGUUGGGGAUGGACUCGCGGCUUAUCAGCUUGUUGGUGGGGUAGUGGCUUACCAAGGCUUUGACGGGUAGCCGGCCUGAGAGGGUGACCGGCCACAUUGGGACUGAGAUACGGACCAGACUCCUACGGGAGGCAGCAGUGGAGAAUAUUGCACAGUGAGCGGAAGCCUGAUGCAGCAACGCCGCGUGCGGGAUGACGGCCUUCGGGUUGUAAACCGCUUUCGCCUGUGACGAAGCGUGAGUGACGGUAAUGGGUAAAGAAGCACCGGCUAACUACGUG